rnacentral:rRNA from 1 species
GACGAACGCUGGCGGCGUGCUUAACACAUGCAAGUCGAACGGAAAGGCACUGCUUUUGUGGUGUGCUCGAUUGGCGAACGGGUGCGUAACACGUAAGUAACCUGAUCUUGUCUUUGGUAUAAGUUAAGGUAACUGGAGUUACUAUCAGAUCGGAUACGCCGCACCGUGGAGGGGGUUGGAACUUCUAGCCGGUCGGGGAUGGACUAGCGGCUUAUCGGCUUGUUGGUGGGGGAGUGGCUUACCAAGGCUUUGACGGGUAGCCGGCCUGGGAGGGUGGCCGGCCACAUUGGGACUGAGGUAGGGCGCAGAGUCGAACGGGAGGCAGCAGUGGGAAGUAUGGUACAGUGGUCGGAAGCCUGAGGCAGCAACGCCGCGGGCGGGAUGACGGCCUUCGGGUUGUAAACCGCUUUCGCCUGUGACGAAGCGGGAGUGACGGUAAUGGAUAAAGAAGCACCGGCUAACUACGUG